GCAAAUGUUCGAACACAGGUCGUAUAACUUGCUUAUUCUUACAUCUUUCUUCCUUUAAGAGAUUGUGAUUCUAUUUGUGUUGAAUAUUUUAUUUUAUUAACAAAAAUUGAAUUAAAAAAGGAUUAAUUAGAUAUAUAUCUCUUUCGCCCUCGAGUGUUCGAAAACAAGUAUUAUAUAUUGUUUGUUCUAACAUUUGUCUUCCUCCUAAAACUAAU
rnacentral:lncRNA from 1 species